rnacentral:lncRNA from 1 species
GAUAUCAGGAAUUUCAGUGGCUGCAAAGGCCAUCAAUCCUGCCAUCCGGAUUUUUGCUGCAGAACCUAAGGGAGCUAAUGAUGCAGCCAUGUCAAAAGCAGCUGGUAAGAUAGUAACACUACCAGAGACCACCACCAUAGCCGAUGGUGUUCGAGCUUUUCUCGACGACCUGACCUGGUAAUAUAUCUUCUCUCUUAUUUAAAUUUUCAUCAACGUUAGAAAAAGUUUGACUCGUAGGGAAAUUUAGUCCCUUCUCUAUUACGAGUGAUUACUAUUUAUCUCUUGCAAAAGCAUACUGCAAACCCUCUUUAGAACUACCCUUUAAUUUGUACUAUUUUUCUCUUCUUCUCACUCUUUCAUUUGUAGUUUGCCUCUUCAUAGUCUUAAUGAUUAAUUAUCAUUAAUACUUUGUUCCCACCCAUUUGCAAAUUUUCUCUUGUAAACAUUAAUGAUUGGGGCCUAUCUGUUUACUUACUGGUCAUAUGAACUCAAGCAUGUGAAACCCACCUUUUUUAUACUAUAAACUAAUUUUAAUCAUAAACUUGAGAACCACCGAUAGAAACAGAAGCAUAUGAUUCAGUAGAAAAUUAAAGUAAUGUUUCUUUCUCCAAGUUUAUCUACUAUACUACACAGUACCAACAUGAAUAACAUGAAUAUGAUCUCCACCAAUCAGAUACAACACUUUACCUAGUACAUGAAAGUGCAUACCAUGAUUUUUCUGUCUAUCAAUAACAACUUGGACUAUACAGUGAAUGCAAAAAAGUAGACUAUUAUCUUAGCAAUAAUGAUCCAAGCUAGUAUUUGCAGUGGAUCCACCUGUUAAGUAAUCCAUACAUCACGAUAAGUUCAAAUGAUCAUACUCCCACAUUUUCAAAUGAUCAUACUCCCACAUUUAUUGUAUUAGUCUAACCUUUCUAACCCAAGACUCAUAAAAGCGUAGGCCUAUGACAGUAAUGUUUUCGGUAAUGCAUCAUUUUGUUGGAACUACUAGUAUAUAUAGCAUUUAUUUUAAAUACUGAAAUUCUUGUCAUAUGAUAUCUCUCAACUUUGCUUGAAUGGUUAAAAACUGAAAAAGUUUCUUUCUGUGGAUUUCAUUUACUACUAAAUGACUUCAAUUCCUUGUUGACUGAUUAGGCCAAUAGUAAGAGAUUUGGUGGAUGAUGUAAUAACUGUGGAGGACAUAGAGAUAGUUGAAGCAAUGAGACUUUGUCUUGAAAUUCUGAAAGUUGUUGUGGAACCAAGUGGGGCAAUAGGUCUUGCUGCUGUUCUCUCUGAUAGUUUCAAGCAAAACCCUUCAUGGAAGGAUUGCAACUCCAUUGGCAUUAUACUUUCUGGAGGUAAUGUUGAUCUUGGCAUGCUUUGGAAUUCUUACAAAAAUUGAAGCUCGAUUCUCGAUUGUUGAUCUGCCUAUGCUUCUUCUUUGAGACCUUAGCAUUUGAUUUUUCAUUCCUUGGGAGACUUGUUUUCAAUCCUUACUGAUCAUAUGAGCAGAUAUAGACUUUUUUUUUUUUGGGUUUAAAUGUUCACGCUGUUAGUUUCUUCUUGUAUAGAUUGAUUAUAUAACGAUGGAAAACGGAGUUUGACAUGCUACAAUAUGGAAAUAACUUCAAUUCCAAGAAGUCAUAUUUGUUGGAACAUUACUUAGUAGAAUCAGAUCAAUGUUUUGAAAAUGGAUACUAAUUAAAAGAAUGGUUUAAAAUGUAUUUAAACAACAAAACAAUUCCAGUUACCAAUUCAACAUUUGGUUAAACACAUGUUUUAACUUCUAGCAUAAAUUCUGAAUAAUUAUUAUGGUACAUACGAUAUUAUGUGAUUUAUAGUAUGUAUAUUAUUAUACAAAUUUAGAAGAGUUGUAACUACCCUUAUAUUUGUGUUGCAACACAUUACAAAUUUUGCACCAUAUCAAUACACCGUUCAAAAUUUGAUUUAAGUAUAACGUUGUUGCAUGUGGUUACUAAUGAAAUAUAUUGAAUCAUUUUGAAAAAUAUCAAAUACCUUAAACUUUUUUUAAAUGAGUUUAUUUUUUCUUUUAAUUUAAACAUUUUAAAGCAAUCCAAACACACCUACUCUUUUAUAUAGUAUGAUAUUUGGUAUAUUUUCAUUUUUAGAAAAAUAAUCAAUAGUAAAAAAUAUCAUCCACUGAAUCAAACCGAAGAAUUAAAUCUAUAUUGAAAAAAAAAUCCAAACAUAAAAAUAUAUAUUUAGUCCAUAUGACAUUUCAUAGAGAAUUAUUUUCUCGAGUUUUUUCAAGAAUAAUAAAAAUAUAAACUAUUUACACUCUGACACAAAAAACUAAAGAAAGAUUCAUAAUUAUUCAUUUUGUCAUGUAAAUAGUUUGUCCAUUUUAUCAUAGUUAACAAUUCUCGCGAUAAAUGUUUAACGAUUUUUUUUCUUUUUUUGUUAUUUAUAGAGUUUGAUUAAUUUUGAUUUGCAUGUUAUCAUUUUUAUUUUAAACUAUUUUAAAUUGUGAAAUUUAAAUAUGUUAUUUUUGGAUAGACUAAUAUAUAUAUAUAUAUGAUAGUCUAUCUUAGACCUAUCAAUAUUUUGUUAUAUUUUGUUAUAAUUUUAAAAAUUAUGUCUUUGUCACGUAUUGAUUGUAUAUAUAAACUCUUUCAUUAGUAAUAUGGAUAAAUAAGUUUGUGGUUCAUAACUCAAAACUCAUAUUUAUAAAUAGAAGAAAUUGAUAUAUCCACGUGUAGAUGGAUAUUUCCAUUCUUGUGCUAUCGAGCAAAAGUUCGAAUCUUCAAAGUUCCAUUCCAUAUGGUCAAUUUCUUUUUUAUUGUCGCGCUCAACAGCGGGAACGGAUUCAGCGAGAAAGGCAACCACAAUUUCAACGGUGACACAGAAUUUAUUUGCCAUCUUCCACCAGGAAGAAGCAUAUAAACUUUUUUUUACUAAUCAGCGCUCAAGUAUUGUAAGUUCAUGACAUUUCUUUGAACUUUUAUUCCUAAUUUUCUGUUCUAAUUACAGAUUAUUUUUACGUGGACAGUGUAGUUAGCAAAGAAAUUGAAUCCUUAUUCCUUACAGCGCAGAUGUGAUUUCAGUGAAAGUAAAACAGAGUCUCAGGUAAUUUCUUAUGACUUAUUCUCAGAUUGAGCCGAAAAUUUGAUGUGCUUGAUGAUUUCUCCUUCUUGUUUUUUGUAUUUAUUUCGCAAAUUAGAAGGAAUAGAAUCCAAAUUUUAUUUUGGAUGUUAAAUUUUGAACAGAUGGGUUUGUUAUUUUGGUGGGGUUAAAGAGGAAUUAGCUCAUCAGGGAUUGUUUGGUUUAAAUUUGUAAUAAAGUGAUAAAAAAGUUUAGACAUUCUUAAUUUUUUCCUUUUGACUUUUAAAAUUUAAAAUAUAAAUACCACUGCCAUUCCAUUUUCGACGAAUGUUUUUAAAAAUGAAGAUAAAUUUUGAAAAGUAAAUAAAGUAAUUUUGAAAAGCUUGUUUUUGCUUUUAAAAUACUGUUUAAGUGUUUCUUUAAGAACUGUGAAAACUAUAAUUAGAAAAUUGAGAGGAAAUGUAAAUUCCAAAAACAAAAAGUAAGGAAUGAACGCACUGUUUGGUAAUCCUGUGGUUUUGGGUUUUUUUAAAAUUACGAGUCUAUGACUAUAAGCACACCUUAAACCUCUAAAUUAUUUGCUUUUGUUAUCUACUAUUUAGUAUUUACUGUUGAUUUAAAAAACCGAGCCAUAGUUUUGAAAACUAAAAAGGUAGUAUUAAAAACUUGAUUUAAUUAAUAUUUUUUUUUUAAAAAAAACAUAAUUGCUUCAGUUAUUAGUCUAGACUAUUCUAUCACUGUAAAUUUAAUCUAGGAGGCAAAUGCUCCUUCAAAUUUUGUUUAAAUACACGAAAAAUGCUUUAGGCAACUAAAGUGGCCUAUUGAAACUAGGAAGUCUAGUUUUGUGUAGCGUGUUUUGGUAUUUUGUUGACUAACGAGUAUUACUAACUUGAUUUGGUGUUUGUUUUAUGAGUUUGUAAUUUGAAGAAGUAAAUAUUUUGUUUGAGAGAUAGACAGUAUUAAGGAUCUUAAUCUUAUUAACAAACUUGUAUUUGGGAUGAAUGUACUUAUACUAUAAAAUUAUAAUCCAUGAGCUAAAUUAUCCUUGGAGUUUUUUUUGUAUUAAAAAGCUAUAUGCAACUCAGCAUGUCCUUGGAAAAUGUAUUUAUUUAUCACAAGAAAUGGCAACCAAAAUUUGUAUUCAUAAUGUCAAUUCAGUUUCAAGCCAUUAGUCAAAUGAAAUGAAUUUGGCUUAACAUGGAGAGUCGUUUUCCUUUGUUAACUUAGAAAAGCCAUCCACUGUGUCGCUAAGGUGUAUGUUUGAACCAUAAUUUUUGUCAACUGACAAUUGUGGUUGCUGUUGCUAUCAGGAUUGGAGAUUUUUUCUGAACUUUUUUCAGGUGUGCCGUUUCUUGCUGUUAAAAUGAACGUGGAGAGUCAAAAUAAGAAGAAAGAGUAUGCUGCUGAUAUUUCCUCCAUAAAGGAAGCCCGGAUACGUAUUCGACCUUUCAUCCAUCAAACCCCAGUUUUUUCAUCUGAAACUAUCAAUGCUGCUUCAGGAAAACAACUUUUCUUCAAAUGUGAAUGUUUCCAGAAGGGGUGAGUAGCUUAACCAAUGUUGAAAGAUUAUAAGGUUCUGAUUCAAAUGGUGUGUGGUCUUUUUAAUGCUGACAUGCACAGUAACAUUUAAACUUAUUUUCAGUUUCAACGUAACUGACUCUUGAAAUCUAUUAUGAAAUGUGUUAUCUUGUUUCUAAGUCAAAAGCCAUCUUUUAAAGAUAAAUGGACAGGUGAUGAUUCAUCUUUUGAAGAAACGACGUUACUUGAUAUUUUAGAUAUAUUAGUUCUAAAUCAUCUCUCUUAGAUUAUUAUUCAAUAGUUAAUAGGUACAAUGUAAAUUUGAUUAUUUCAAAGUUUGUAUGAAAAGCUCUUCUUGCCAUGUUGCUGUUGGUACUUUUGCUAAGAGUACUCUUUGUGAAGUCAAGUCAAGGAUAAGUUGAAAAUGUCUGUGAGCUAUUCUAUCAUAAUUUUGAAAUAAAUUUGUCAUAAUAUUAAAGGUAGGAGAGAGAAUUAUGGUUUCUAAUGGAAAUCUAAUGGUUUAUUAUUUGGCUAUUCAGUGGAGCUUUCAAAUUCAGAGGUGCCUGCAAUGCUAUAUAUUCACUUGAUGAGGGCGAGGCUGCUAAAGGGGUUGUGACACAUAGCAGGUCCACUCUGGACUACACAAUAUACUUCUUUGAAGCUUUUUGAGAACAUUUAACUGAUAAUGCUCUCCAAAAUUAGUGGCAACCAUGCUGCAGCUUUGUCUUUGGCUGCAAAACUGCGCGGAAUCCCUGCAUAUAUAGUUAUACCAGAAAAUGCUCCAAAAUGUAAAGUUGAAAAUGUGAUACGUUAUGGUGGUCAGAUUAUUUGGAGCAAAAGCGCAAUACAGUCAAGGGAAUCGGUUGCUGCGAGGGUUAUGCAAGAAACUGGUGCACUUCUCAUACACCCAUAUAAUGAUGGGCGCAUAAUAAGGUAAAAUAAUGUUAAUAUUGUUUUGUUUAACUGUCUUUGGAAGUACUCAUGAUGAUUUCUCAAAGUACAAAUCUUUAUUUACUUUUAAUUUUUUUAUCCCUAUUUUGAAAAUGGAUACAAAGUUUGUUAGUGAAACAAUGAAAGAGACGAGUGCUGAAAGCCAAAUGUAGAAACAAUUAAAACUUGCCUUGAAACUGAACAAAACAAUCAAGUGUCUUUGAUAAGUUUUCCCUAUUUUAUAAAGACAAAUAUCUUGAAUGGAAAGGUCUGCAAAUAAUUUGGAGAGCAAGUACCAAAAAGAAGCUUUAACCGAGCAAUUUUACAAGGUUCAGAUCAAUUGGUUUAGGUUUGAUUCCUUUCAAAACAAAUUUUGGAGAGGAUGGCUUUAACCGCAUUUCACCACACCAACUGACAUUGAGGCUUCAAGAAAGGACCCACAAGAAUCUAAACGACAUUUUCCUUAAAACCAUCACAAAAUAUCCACUGGAUCCUGAAAGUUGAAAACAACUUGAGACAAGAAGCCAUGGAACAACACCAUUCAUAGAAAAAAUGUUGAGGAUCUUCAUUGGCCGAGAACAAAGAGGACACAUAGAGGAUAAUGAGGUGUUAGAAGGUAGCUUCUUUUGAAGUACAUUAGAACAAUUGAGUGCCCCAUAAAUCAUAAUCCAUGUGAGUAAAUAGAUUUCUACAGAGCCUUUUGCAACAACUUAUCCAUAGUAGAAGAGACAGGCAAGUGCUUGAAAAUGGAAUUAACAGAAAACUGACAUUUGAAACUUUAAAAACUCAGAACUUAAUCAUCCUUUAAAAAUCUUUUAAAAGAUAUUUGACCAGAAACGAGUGAUAUCAUACCAAUUAUCAAGAAUAGAGCCUUUCAGAUUUGAAGAAAUUCUUGAAAGGCUUGGAAAAAUGGAGCCCAAAGAACUACUGUCCAGCCAAGUAUCAUGCUAAAAGGAAAUUAUACUGCCGUUUCUGAGCUUUUAUCACUAUUCUUAACGCAUUCUUUUAUUUGACUAAUUUUAAUUUGUUGUUUCGUCACAAGACUAGUUUUCAUAACAAGAACUUGGUUUUACUCAACUGAAAUGGAUAUGUUAUGGCAUGUUGAUCGCUCUUGCAGUGGGCAAGGUACCAUCUCGUUGGAGCUUCUGGAACAAGUCCCACAAUUAGACACUUUAAUCGUUCCCAUAAGUGGUUUGUUUGCUUGGAUCGUUUUAUACCUUUCAAUUUUCAUUGUUAAUUUUAUGCAUUAUCAUAGUUGAUAAUAUCCCAUUGGGACAGGCUUGUUCUUUUCUGAAACCCUUCACCAUGAAAAUGUAGGUGGUGGUUUGAUAUCAGGAAUUUCAGUGGCUGCAAAGGCCAUCAAUCCUGCCAUCCGGAUUUUUGCUGCAGAACCUAAGGGAGCUAAUGAUGCAGCCAUGUCAAAAGCAGCUGGUAAGAUAGUAACACUGCCAGAAACCACCACCAUAGCCGAUGGUCUUCGAGCUUUUCUCGGCAACCUGACCUGGUAAUAUAACUUCUCUCUUAUUUAAAUUUUCAUCAACGUUAGAAAUUGUUUGACUCGUGGAUUUAAUUAUAGGGAAAUUUAGUCCCUUUCUCUCCUACA